rnacentral:rRNA from 1 species
UGGGGAAUAUUGCACAAUGGGCGCAAGCCUGAUGCAGCCAUGCCGCGUGUGUGAAGAAGGCCUUCGGGUUGUAAAGCACUUUCAGCGAGGAGGAAGGUGGUGAACUUAAUACGUUCAUCAAUUGACGUUACUCGCAGAAGAAGCACCGGCUAACUCCGUGCCAGCAGCCGCGGUAAUACGGAGGGUGCAAGCGUUAAUCGGAAUUACUGGGCGUAAAGCGCACGCAGGCGGUUUGUUAAGUCAGAUGUGAAAUCCCCGGGCUCAACCUGGGAACUGCAUUUGAAACUGGCAAGCUAGAGUCUCGUAGAGGGGGGUAGAAUUCCAGGUGUAGCGGUGAAGUGCGUAGAGAUCUGGAGGAAUACCGGUGGCGAAGGCGGCCCCCUGGACGAAGACUGACGCUCAGGUGCGAAAGCGUGGGGAGCAAAACAGGAUUAGAUACCCUGGUAGUCCACGCUGUAAACGAUGUCGAUUUUGGAGGUUGUGCCCUUGAGGCGUGGCUUCCGGAGCUAACGCGUUAAUCGACCGCCUGGGGAGUACGGCCGCAAGGUUAAAACUCAAAGGAAUUGACGGGGUCAUAGCUGUUUCCUG